UUCAUCCACUGGAGGUGCCUUUGAAGAGGCUGAGAUCAAAGUAAUGGACUUUGGGACUCCUAGAACCUGAUCCAGGUUAUACUGGCGGAGGGAAGUGGCACUGCUUACAA
rnacentral:ncRNA from 2 species